rnacentral:rRNA from 1 species
UACGUAGGGUGCAGGCGUUAAUCGGAAUUACUGGGCGUAAAGCGUGCGCAGACGGUUUCUUAAGUCAGAUGUGAAAGCCCCGGGCUUAACCUGGGAACUGCGUUUGAAACUGGGAGACUUGAGUGUGGCAGAGGGGGGUGGAAUUCCACGUGUAGCAGUGAAAUGCGUAGAUAUGUGGAGGAACACCGAUGGCGAAGGCAGCCCCCUGGGUUAACACUGACGCUCAUGCACGAAAGCGUGGGGAGCAAACAGG